GUCGAGGAUCUUCCGCAAUGCGCGAAAGCGUGACGGAGCGACGCCGCGUGGGUGAUGAAGGCCUUCGGGUUGUAAAGCCCUGUCACCUGGGAAGAAUGGCGGAGGGUGAAUAAUCACUUCGCUUGACGCUACCAGGAGAGGAAGCACCGGCUAAAUACGUGCCAGCAGCCGCGGUAAUACGUAUGGUGCUAACGUUGUUCGGAAUUACUGGGCAUAAAGAGCACGUAGGCUGUUGGACAAGUCCAUUGUGAAAUCCCCCGGCUUAACCGGGGAACCGCAGUGGAUACUAUCUGACUUGAGUACAGGAGGGGAGAGCGGAAUUCCAGGUGGAGCGGUGAAAUGCGUAGAUAUCUGGAGGAACGCCGGUGGCGAAAGCGACUCUCUGGUCUGUUACUGACGCUGAGGUGCGAAAGCUAGGGGAGCAAACGGGAUUAGAUACCCCAGUAGUCC
rnacentral:rRNA from 1 species